UUUCCGUAGGUGAACCUGCGGAAGGAUCAUUAUUGUAUAACCGAGGUGCGAGGGCUGUCGCUGACCCGAAAGGUCGUGCACGCCCGAGUGCCCUCACCCACAUCCAUCUCACCCCUAUGUGCACCACCGCGUGGGUCCCCCUUUGGCUUGUUCGGAGGGGGCCUUACGUUUUCACACAAACUUUGUAUGUAGUGUAGAAUGUAUUUUUUGUUUUUGCGAUCACGCAAUCAAUACAACUUUCAACAACGGAUCUCUUGGCUCUC
rnacentral:misc_RNA from 1 species